rnacentral:rRNA from 1 species
GCCGACACAUCAAUCUUUUUUCCAGGUUGACCUCGGAUCAGGUAGGGAUACCCG